rnacentral:rRNA from 1 species
AUUGAACGCUGGCGGCAGGCCUAACACAUGCAAGUCGAGCGGCAGCGGGAGAGUAGCUUGCUACUUUUGCCGGCGAGCGGCGGACGGGUGAGUAAUGCCUGGGAAAUUGCCCAAUCGAGGGGGAUAAUAGUUGGAAACGACUGCUAAUACCGCAUACGCCCUACGGGGGAAAGCAGGGGACCUUCGGGCCUUGCGCGAUUGGAUAUGCCCGGGUGGGAUUAGCUAGUUGGUGAGGUAAUGGCUCACCAAGGCGACGAUCCCUAGCUGGUCUGAGAGGAUGGUCAGCCACACUGGAACUGAGACACGGUCCAGACUCCUACGGGAGGCAGCAGUGGGGAAUAUUGCACAAUGGGGGAAACCCUGAUGCAGCCAUGCCGCGUGUGUGAAGAGGGCCUUCGGGUUGUAAAGCACUUUCAGCGAGGAGGAAAGGUUGAUGCCUAAUACGUAUCAACUGUGACGUUACUCGCAGAAGAAGCACCGGCUAACUCCGUGCCAGCCGCCGCAGUAAAAC